rnacentral:misc_RNA from 1 species
GAAAUGCGAUAAGUAAUGUGAAUUGCAGAAUUCAGUGAAUCUUCGAAUCUUUGAACGCACAUUGCGCCCGCCAGUAUUCUGGCGGGCAUGCCUGUUCGAGCGUCAUUACAACCCUCAGGCCCCCGGGCCUGGCGUUGGGGAUCGGCGGAAGCCCCCUGCGGGCACAACGCCGUCCCCCAAAUACAGUGGCGGUCCCGCCGCAGCUUCCAUUGCGUAGUAGCUAACACCUCGCAACUGGAGAGCGGCGCGGCCACGCCGUAAAACACCCAACUUCUGAAUGUUGACCUCGAAUCAGGUAGGAAUACCCGCUGAACUUAAGC